rnacentral:tRNA from 1 species
GUUUUCGUGGUGUAGUUGGUUAUCACAUCCGCCUAACACGCGGAAGGUCCUCAGUUCGAACCUGGGCGAAAACA